AGGGCAAGUCUGGUGCCAGCAGCCGCGGUAAUUCCAGCUCCAAUAGCGUAUAUUAAAGUUGUUGCAGUUAAAAAGCUCGUAGUUGAAUUUCGGGGUUCUACCGUUGGUCGGGCUUUGUCUGUACUGGCGUGUAGAAUUUCUACCUUCUGGGGAACCAUUAUGUUAUUAAUUUAGCGUAGUGGGAAACCAGGACCUUUACCUUGAAAAAAUUAGAGUGUUCAAAGCAGGCUUAUGUCUGAAUACAUUAGCAUGGAAUAAUAGAAUAGGACGGUGGUCCUGUUUUGUUGGUUUCUGAAUCACCGUAAUGAUUAAUAGGGAUAGUUAGGGGCAUUAGUAUUCAAUUGUCAGAGGUGAAAUUCUUGGAUUUAUUGAAGACUAACUUCUGCGAAAGCAUUUGCCAAGGAUGUUUUCAUUAAUCAAGAACGAAAGUUAGGGGAUCGAAGACGAUCAGAUACCGUCGUAGUCUUAACCAUAAACUAUGCCGACUAGGGAUCGGACGAUGUUAAUUUUUCUUGACUCGUUCGGCGCCUUACGGGAA
rnacentral:rRNA from 1 species